rnacentral:tRNA from 1 species
AGGGCGAUUAACUCAGCGGUAGAGUUCUUGCCUUACAAGCAAGCAGUCACUGGUUCGAAUCCAGUAUCGCCCA